CAUCCUUGUCUUCUUCCUGUUCUUAGAAAAAAGGCUUUCAGAUUUUUCUCCAUUCAGAAUGAUUUUAGCUAUGGGUUUGUCAUGUAUGGAUUUAUUAUUUUGAGAUAUCUACAAAGCAUUUCUAUCAUUAGAUUCUAAUCCAGAACCACAUGAUUGACCUUGUAUGGCUGUUUCUGUGGAUGUUUGUUAAAUAAGAAUAUUGAGAGCCAAGGAAUUCUAUCAAGCAAAGAUGUUCUACUCAGGUUUAUGAACAGUUUUCCCCCUGUAUGGCUGUACUGUUUAUUCCACUGAGCCUGGCUGCAUCCUUCUGCUUUGAUUUAUAGGGAAGGCAGAAGUCAACACCUAAAAGAUGUGACUUUUAAAACAGAGCCUGGGAUAGUCUUUAUUUCUCCCUUUCUGUUGAAGUCCAGUUUCUCAGUUUAUGGCUUCUGCUCCAGAGAAAAUGUUGCUAUUUCUAUUGCUCAGUAUGUAGGAUACUUAAAACCCUGGACACUCUUCUGUUGAAGUUAGGACACGUAAGUGGACUUCUUUACACCCCUCUGCUUUCUAGAGUAGAGUCUGUACGGCAUCUCUCCUUGCAAGCACGUUACUUAUUCAGCAACCCUGAAUCUCAAAGGUUUAAGUAGAUGCAGAGUUUUUUAGGGUGAUCAGCUAUCUAUAAUGGUGAGAGAAGAGAAAGCCUUACUUAAACUUAUCAUCUAAGAUUUAUUCUCUAAAUAUUUAGAACACUGUGCAUUUGAGUAGAUUGUGUGCAUGUUCAGCUGUUAAAAUUGUACUAGGCUUGUGAUUCUGUUAUCAGUCCUUUUGUGUACAGCCGCAAGAGUUUGAAACACUAAAGGAGGCUGAGGCAAUGAUAAAUAUGAGCUCCAAGCCUCCACCCUAAACUCUGAAUAUAUUGUUUUAGUGUACUUUCCUUUAUCACUUAAGGACUACUAAGUUCUGUUCCUGUAAUGAAACUAUAUGUUGUAUUGGAAUUUGGCUGAAAUAGUACAAAUAAAUAAUGUGUUUUUCUCAGAGUUUACAUGAAUAAAAUGGAUUGCUUUAAUGCUAUUUAGAUAGUAUAUUGCUAAAUCUCUUCCAGAGGGUGAGAUCAAAUGGAUCCCACUUUAGUAAGUUAUAAUCACUCUUGAAUUCCUAGUAACUAUAGAAAGAACUGGUCCCCAAAACACUUUUUAAAAUGAUAUUAUAACUAAGAGAAAAUAAUUGGACUAAUUAAGACUUUUACAUUAGAAAUUAAAGACCUUAAAAUACUUAGCAGCUAUGAAGAAUCUUGGAAAAGGAUUGACCGAUUUCUCCCAUUUGGAAUGAGUGUAUUUAUGCAGUAAAAUUUCUUAGUGAAUUUAUAUAAAAAGUAUAAAAUACUAGAUAAUUAUUCAUAUUCAAUGAACUAUUAAUUUUUAUUUAAAGAGCCCACACAUUGCUUUUCUAAAAAUGAAAGAUUAUAGUAAAUUGUCUUCAUAUUAAUUAAAUAUGAAUUUAAUUCAUAUGAAUUAAAUAUAAUUAUGUGGUAUGAAUAAGAAAAGCCAUUAAUGAUACUGAAGAUAUUUUCUAGUAUACAUAAAGACAAAAAGUUACAAAUAAAAAAGGCAGUUGUUCAUGGAAAAAGAAAAUCUGUAAAUUAAAAGGCACAAUUAAACUGACAUGUCUUCUAGCAUCUUUCUGACAGGUAAUCUCACUGAUCUGAAUGCUGAUAUUUCCAAAUAUGGAAGCCCCAAGUUUAAGAACUAUGAAUAAUAAUAAUAACAACUUUAGAAUAAAUGUUUAUCUGACAAUGACAUUAGUAUAUUAAUUUCUGGAAAGAGAUAAUACACACAAAUAUAAAAUGUAAAAUUUAAUUAAAUUUGGAAUAUUAUGAAGCCAUUUAAAUGGGUUAUGUUACAACCCCCUUGUAGGACAGCAUAUAGUUAUUGAAGCAGUUUUUUUCAAAGUGUCUGUGAUAGUAUGCUGACAUGGUCUGGCUCUGUGUCCCCACUCAAAUCUCAUCUUGAAUUAGAAUCUGAAUGGUAAUUCCCUCAUGUUGGGGGAGGGACCUCAUGGGAGGUGAUUGGAUCAUGGGGGCACUUCCUUUAUGCUGUUCUCAGGACAGUAAGUGAGUUCAGAAAUGAUGGUUUUGUGAGGGGCUUUUCCCCUCUUUGCUCUGCAAUUCUCUCAUUCUUCUCCUUUCUGCUGCCACGUAAGGAAGAAUGUGUUUGCUUCCUCUUCCACCGUGAUUGUAAGUUUUCUGAGGCCUCCCAAGCCAUGCUGAGCCGUGAGUCAAUUAAACCUCUUUCCCUUAUAAAUCACCCAUUCUUAGGUCUUUCUUUAUCAGCAGCGUGAGAAUGAACUAAUACAGUAAAUUGGUACUAGUAGAGUGGGGUGCUGCUAUAAGAAUACUCAAAAAUAUGGAAGCAACCUUGGAACUAGGUAAUAGGCAGACAUUGGAACAGUUUGGAGGACUCAGAAGUCAAGAAAAACGUGAGAAAGUUUGGAACAUCCCAGAGACUUGUUGAAUGGCUCAGAAUGAAAUGAUGGUAGUGAUAUGGACAAUAAGGUCCAGGAUGAAGUGGCUUCAAAUGGAGAUGAGUGACUUGUUGGGAACUGGAGUAAAGGUCACUCUUGGUAUGAAAAGAGCCUGGUGGCAUUUUACCCUAGCCCUUGAGAUCUGUGGAACUUUGAUCUUGAGAGAAAUGAUUUAGGGUAUCUGGUGGAAGAAAUUUCUAAGUGGCAAAGUGUUCAAGAGGAAGCAAAGCAUAGAAGUGUGGAAAAUUUGCAACCCGACAAUGCAGUAGAAAAGAAAACCCCAUUUUCUGAAGAGAAAUUCAAGCCUGCUGCAGAAAUUUGCAUAAGUACAAAAGGAACAGAAUAUUAAUCACCAAGAUAAUGGGGAAAAUGUCUCCAGGGUAUUUCAGAGAUAUUCACAGCAGCCCCUUUCAUGCCAGGGCCAGGCCCAGGGCCCCCCUGCUGUGUGCAGCCUAGAGAUUUGGUGCCCUGCUUCCUAGCCACUCCAUCCAUGGCUAAAAGGGGCCAAGGUACAGCUCAGGCCAUUGCUUCAGAAGAUGUGAGCCCCAAGCCUUGGCAGCUUCCAUGUGCUGUAGGUCUUGUGGAUGCACAGAACUCAAGAAUUAAUGUUUAGGAACCUCCACCUAGAUUUCAGAGGUUGUAUAGAUGUCCAGGCAGAGGUUUGCUGCAUGGGUGGGGUCCUCAUGAAGAACUUCUGCUAGGGCAGUGCAGAAGGGAAAUGUGGGGUCGGAGCCCACACAGAGUCCCCAUUAGGGCACUGCUCAGUGGAGCUGUGGAAAGAGGGCCACCAUUCUGCAGACUCCAGAAUGGUAGAUCCACCAACAGCUUGCACCGUGUGCUUGGAAAAGCUGCAGACACUCAACACCAGCCUGUGAAAACUGCUGGGAGGGGUCUUUAUCCUGCAAAGUCACAAGGGGGGAGCUGCCCAAGGCUGUGGGAGCCCACUUUUUGCAUCAGCAUGACCUGCAUGUGAGACAUGGAGUCAAAGGAGAUGUUUUGGAACUUUAAGAUUUAAUUACUUUCUUGUUGGAUUUUGGACUUGCAUGGGGCCUGUAACCCCCUUUGUCUUGAACAAUUUCUCCCAUUUGGAAUGAGUGUAUUUAAUGAGUAUAUUUAAUUGAGGUACCAAUUUCUGUACCUCAAUUGCAUCUAGGAAGUAAAUAACUUGCUUUUGAUUUUACAGGCUCACAGGUGGAAGGGGCUUGUCUUGUCUCAAAUGAGACUUUGAACUUGGACUUUUGCUGGAAUUAGUUAAGACUUUGAGGGACUGUUGAAAAGGCAUGAGUGUGUUUUGAAAUGUGAAAGGGAUAUGAGAUUUGGGAGGGGCCAGGGGUGGAAUGUAUGGUCUGGCUCUGUGUAGCCACUCAAAUCUCAUUUUGAAUUAUAAUCCAAGUUGUAAUCCCCACAUGUUGGGAGAGGGACCCCAUGGGAAGUGAUUGAAAAAUGGGGGCAAUUCCCUCAUGCUGUCCUUGUGAUAGUGAGUGAGUUCUAAUGAGAUGUGAUAGUUUUGUGAGGGGAUUUUCCCACCUUAGCAUGGAAGUUCUCUCAUUCUUCCACUUCCUGCUGUCAUGUAAAGAAGGACAUGUUUGCUUCCACUUCUGCCAUGAUUGUAAGUUUCCUGAGGCCUCCCCAGCCAUGCUGAACUGUGAGUCAACUAAACCUCUUUCUUUAUAAAUUACCCAGUCUCAGAUAUGUCUUUAUUAGCAGCAUGAGAAUGGACUAACACACUUGCAUAAUGGGUAAUAAUUAAAAACUUCUUUCUUCCCUUUUUAAAUACAUGACUUUUAUUCUGUCUCAACCAAUUUGUCUCUUUACCUUGUAAGAGAUUAGGAUUAGGCAUGAAAAAAUGUGAAGAUAAAGUAUAAUAUUUAGCUGGUGACAUUCAAAAUUUUGGUGUAAAAAUCACAAGGCUAUUUUCUUGUGACAUAGUCUAAGUCUGCAGGCAUAUCACUCUAAAUACACCUGAUCUCAUUUGAUCUCAGAAGCUAAGCAGGGUCAGGUCUUGUUAGUACUUGGGUGGGAGAAACACUCUCUAAACUAUACUUCCUACUUUAGUUUUGUGGGCUGGGCAACAGAAUUGUAUGUAAUAAAACUAUUCAGAUAGGGAGAAGUAGAUGGAAAUUCCCUUUCCCUCCUGAAAUUUAUAGUGAAUAAAGGAGAAACAUAUAGGUGAAUCAGAAUCAAAUGUUUACAUGCAUACUCAUUUCUUUUCUGUGGAUUUUAGUUUGAGGUGCAGGUGGUAGAAAGAUGAAGGUAUUACAGAAUGCAUACCCCUCUGAUUAGGAGUUCUACAUAUACACUCUUCUGUGUCAAAAUGGGGAAGUCAAAGCCUAAUCAAGAAUAGAAACUUGCUGGUUAGAGAGAGAGAAAGACAGACAGACUAGCAAGUAUUCAGAAGCCUCUCCUUCUUUCAGGGCUGCAUGGCCACACUAAGUUGAGAGCCAGCAAAUUUGUUAUGGAGCCUACCAUUAUAAGACUUAUUAGCUACAAAGUUGACGUUAGUGGUGGACCACUGGGCCAGGAAGCUGAAGGGAGUACAUGGCAGGACCCAAGACCUACAGCCAGUAAACUCUGAGGGGGAAAAUAUUUGCAAUUAAAAGCUGAUCAUGGCAUCCUAGAAUUUGUCCUGAGCCAAAUAAAGAACGUAUUCACCAGUUGCAGAUGUCGGCAUCAGAGGCCAGCAAGACACUAUGUGUCUGGGCUGUGACUUUAAUGCUCCAAAAUAUUUAUUUGAUUUGACUUUUUAUAUAACUACCCCUUGUGCUUACUUAAUCACACUCUUCAAUGCAUGUCCUUUUUACUAUUAACCCCCCCAGCAUUUUUUCCCAACAUUUCCCACCUCUUGUCUCCAGUUCCUGGUAACCACAAUUCUGUGUUUCUGUGAGUUCAAUAUUAUUACAUCCCACAUAUCACUGAGAUCAGGCAGUAUUUAUUUGUCUUUCUGUACUUGGCUUAUUUCACUUAAUGGAAUGUCCUCUAGGUUCAUUUAUUUUGUAAAUGACAAGAUUUCCUUCAUUUUUAUGGCUGAAGAGUAUUCUAUUGUGUAUAUAUGCCACAUUUGGUUCAUCUGUUAAUAUGUCGAUGAACAGUUAGACUAAUUCCAUCUCGGCCAUGUUGAAGAAUGGUGAAAUGAACAUGGGAGUCUAGACAACUCUUCAACAUACUCACUUCAUUUCAUUUUGAUACAUAUCUAGUAGCAGAAUUGCUGGGUCAUAUGGUAAUUCUGUUUUUUAUUUUUUGAGGAACCCCCACUACUUUUAAACAUUAGAAAUAAAAAUAAUAUAAUUGGUUCUUGCAAGUUUUCUCUGCUACUGGAAAGACGGACUCUAAGUUGGAAGCAGUAGAAGGGGAGAAAACAGGAACAUAAUCAACCCUUAAAAACUAUUCACCACUCUCAAUAUGUUGGAUCUCCUGUCAUCUGUCUAGCCUUGUCUUUGAAAAAGUAAAAAUGUGUGCAAAAACCAUUUACUGCAGGCUUAAUACUGAACUGUCUUUGUGCUCACCGUCUCUUUUCUGUGUUAGUUUCUUUUUUCAAACCAUUUUAAUCUUUUUAAAAAUGCAUUUUAGAAAUGAUUUUUAUCUGAUUUUAUUUUUCUUCCCCUCUUUGUCUUAUAUUUCCUUUUCUCUUUUGAUGCUACUUAUAUCUGAUUUUAGUAUAAUUAGAUGUUCAUGUUUGAAAAUUCAGAAACUACCAAGUUACACAUAUCAAAAGAAAUCAAAUCACAGGAUAAAAGUAUUAAUUUUUUAAAUUUCAGCUCUUAUUUUAGAUACAGAGCAUACAUGUGCAGGUUUGUUGCAUGGAAAUAUUGCAUGAUGUUGAGGUUUGGGAUACGGAUCCCGCGUCCAGGCACUAAGCAUAGUUCUCAACAAGUGGUUUUCCAACCCAGGACUUCAUCUCUCCUCCCCGCUCUAGCAGUCUACAGUGUACAUUGUUCCCAUGUUUAUGUCCAUGUGUGCUCAGUGUUUAGCUCCCACUUAUAAAUAAGAACAUGUAGGCUUUGGUUUUCUAUUCCUGUGUUCUUUUAGGAUUAUGGCCUUCAACUGCAAAAUGAUUAAUAUUUUAAUAAGCUUCCAUCAAGUUCUCAUAUUUACCUGUGUGCAGUUCUAUAAACACAGGCAGUAACAUAUAUAUAUGUAUAUAUAUGUUUAUGUAUAAAUAUAUAAAUAUAUAAAAUAAAUACAUUUAUCUAUAUAUACAGUUAUACAUUUAUAUAUGUGUUUUGCAUCUAUGCCUAAUAUUUCAUUAUAUCUAUUCAUGAUUUUUCACAUAAAUUCUGAAGAUGUAAUUAUGUAAUUUGUUGAGAUAUUUUACAUUAAAGGUUCUAAAAAAAGAAAAAUGAAAACAACUCAAUUGAAUUCCUAUUGUAUGAUUAUCUUAAGAAGAAGGGACAUAGGCAUAACACCAGUUUGCUUGACUUAGCAUGAUGACCAUUUCUUAACUUUUUAAUUAAAAACCUAAUCAAGUUUUAUCAUGUUUUAAGGUUUUUAGAUAAUUUCACAUAGUGUGUCAAUUAUUCAAGGUAGUUGCUUGUAUGGAAAAGAAAGCAAGUUCCUUCUUGCCUACUUUUUACCCCCAACCUACUGCUAAAGGAAUAAGCAAUGAGAAUUUUUUUUUUCAGAGUCAAGGUUUAAAAAAAAAAAACAUUUGUCAAAUGCAUGCUUUAUAGCAGAUCAUUUUGUUUUCCUGCUUCUGCAAUGUGACAUAGAAAAAUGAGUGUUGGAUUAGAAAAGUCCCCUGGUAAUAGAAUGGUCUAUUUGUUUGGCUGAUUAGAAGCAGGAAAAAUAGAUAAACUAAGAAUUUAGGAAGGCAAAAUGGACCUCUGAUAACUGAGGUGAGAUAAACACUAAAGAAAACUGCCAAAAGACAAUUUUGACUCAAUAUAAACUAAAGAAAAAAGUGGUAACAAGAGAGACAAAACCUAACCUGGAAAAAUUUAGUCUACAAUAAGCUAAAUUAAUGAUUACCAAAAGUUAUUGAAUAAUGACCAUGAGCCAGAUACUAAGUCUGUCUUAUCUAUUGUCUGAUUUAAUUGCCACAGCAGCCCUAUGAUAUAGUGACUGUUAACCUAAAUUUACAGAUAAGAAAAUGAAGCCUAAGGGUAUUUUGCCCAAAAUCACUGCUAGCAUUUAGCAUACUGGGGUGGAAAUUGAGGUUUAACUGUGUUAGUAUGCAAUUGUCUCAGAUGCAAUAUUCUAUUUCCUUGUGAGGAGCAAUGAAGAGUUUCUAUCCCAGAAAAAGAUAAGUAGUGAUAAUGGUUAAAAACAAAAGUUACCUAUUUUUAUUUUACCUACCCUUAAAUAUUAAAGCACAUUUAAAUAUAAUUGCUUAAUAUACAUUUUGUUUUUUGAAAUUUAAAAAAUCUGUUCUAAAAGGCCAUACAUUUUCUCUUCUGAAAAGCAAGAAGAAUAUUGCUAUCUCACAGUGUUAAAGUAAAGAUGGAACGUGGAAAUGAAGGUAAAAUGCUAGCUAAGUAAGUGCAAUCCUGGCUCAUACACACUAAGCACUCACAAAAUAGUUAAUGAGGGUAUUGUUAUACUGGCUUUGACAAACCAAUGACUUAUUGCUGGAAUUGUUUCUGAUGUGCCUUAAGUGUUUAAAUUCUUAAAAUGGGCCUACUCCUGAAUGAAUCUGUGUGUCUUUUCAAAUGGUUCACAGUGAUAUAUUUUUAUUAUAUUCAAUUUUUGGAAAUGUUUCAGUUAUGUAUUUUUCUGUAUGAUAAUUUAAUUAUAAAAGCAUUUUCUUGAGGAAUUAUCUUGUUUUUGAAAACAUACAAGUAUAGCUGUGUUAUAUACAUAUAUUAAUAAUUUGAUUUAAGAAACUGAAUGCCUCUCAUGUGUCUUUCAGGGGAUGUUUACCUGAUUUUUGUGGUCAGUGAUAAAAGUUCUUAAGUCAUUAAAAUGUUAUUAAAUAUUAAAUAUCAUUAAAAUAUUUGUUGAGUCAUCAAGUAAUAAAGCAUUUAAUCUGAAUCAGGUGUUUAGUUGAUUUAUGGGAUUUCUUCAGGAAGAAUAGAUAACAAGAAGACAGCAAUUGAAAAUUCAAAAUGAAUUAAGAAAAAUCCACUUAGGAAAUAGAGAAAAGUAUAAUAAAAAAUAAAAAGUGGUAAAAAUGGCAGAGGUUAUAGUGACAAGCAAAAAAGGAAAGAACAAAAAUUAUGAUCGCAAAAAUUACUCAAAAAAAAGUAAUUAAAUAAGCCCCCAUUUAAAGAUGUGGUUUAGAUAAAGCCAAAAAAUCCUGAUAUUUAAAAAAUAGCUCUAUAAAAUGAAUACUUUGUAUGCAAGAUAUUGAAUAGUUAAUAAUUAUUCUAAAUAAGACUUCCUUCUAGGUCUCAAAUCUAAGGUUUCUGAUAUCUGCCAAUUCUGGUUUAACUAUUAAUAAAAAUAAAUGUGUCAAUUAUAAAUAUUAGAUAAUGUGUGGUAAUAGGUUGCUAGGUAAAAUACAGGGCUCUCAGGUUAAUGUAAAUUUCAGAUAAAUAACAAAUACUACGUUAUGUGAGUAAAUAUAGGAAUAUGUAAUUUAAGACAUACUUAAUUAAGUGUACUUUAGUUUUAUUUGCUAAGUCCAGCAACUCUAUGUAGGAGUUAUGCUUUACAAAAUAUUUAAGCAUAUAUUCAAUCCUUCACUAAUAGUCAAGAAUCUUUUUUUUUUUUUUUGAGAUAGAGUUUCACUCCUGGCUGGAGUGCAAUGGCAUGAUGUUGGCUCACUGCAACCUCCACCUCCUGGGUUCAAGCGAUUCUCCUGCCUCAGCCUCCCAAAUAACUGGGAUUACAGGUGCCCGCCACCACACCCGAGCUGAUUUUUGUAUUUUUAGUAGAGAUGGGGUUUCACCAUGUUGGCCAGGCUGGUCUUGAACUCCUGACCUCAAGUGAUCCAUCCGCCUUGGCCUCCAAAAGUGCUGGGAUCACAGGCGUGAGCCGCCACACCUAGACCUUAUUUUUUAUUUUUUGUUUAUUAAUUACAUUUUGACAUUUGAAAAUAAAUUGAGGCACCAUAUGUUAAAGGCGACAUAUUUAAGGGCACUAAAAUUUCACUUUACCAUAAAAUCUAAAUUAUAUUAGGAAACUGGUGUAUGAUAUAGUUCGAAGAAACACACUCAAAAACAGAGUUUGAAGCAAAAUUAGAUAAGCUGAAGUCAAUAAUGCUAUGAAUAUUAAAAGUCAAGUCAAAGAGGACCCAUAUUACAGGGAAACCAACAGAGAAAUCAAAUAUAUGAAAAGACAAUCAUUGACUGUCAAUAUUUGAGAUUCCAAACCACCCACAAGUUCCAAAGGGUGCUGUGAGAAAACUGAUUUAUUGUAUUGAAAUGAAAGUUCUGCACAUGUAUUCCAGUACUUAAAGUAUAAUAAAAUAAAAUAAAAUAAUCUCUGGACAGACGCUUCUCUUCUGGCAUUAUAGGCUCAGACGUAAGAACCACAGGGGUCAUGCAAACCUGGGGAGUAUUGCUCAGGCAGUUCCUUCCUACUCAUGGCUGGGCCGUCACUGCAUUAUUAAUCAAAGCUUGUUCAAUCAACGCUGUCUCCUGCCAACCUGUUUAAUACAAUCUGACACUUAAAAAAAAAAGAAAAGUUCAGAGCUCAGGCAGUCGAAGCAAAUGGGCAAAGUCAUUGCAGACCAAGAAAUGGAAUGAGCAGCAUGAGAAACAGGAAUCAAGUAAAGCCAAAUCUUGAAAAUUCUGGCCUGAAACCAAUCUCAGGAUAAUAGCCAACUACACUUCCAAGUGAAAACAUGAAGAUACAAUAAUUAGAUUUAAUUGCAAGAGUCUGAGCAGUAAAAUGGUUGUAGAAUUCUAAAGAAAAGGACCAGUUCUGACAAUGCCAGGAUUAAAGUUAAUAACUGAAAUGUACAUACAUAGAGGCUUACAUACAAAUAUGAAUACAAAAUUAUACUGGGAAUAUUAAAUAAUUAAAAAUUAAAGCAUAAAAAUAUGAGCUUUUGAAAAAAUGAAAAUAUAUAAACCAGUCCUUAAUUUUGAAAUACUUAUUUUGACAUCAGCUCUAUUCUGCAGUUUCCUAGAGAUAUAUUGGUCAGCAAAACAAAUAUAGACCCUGCUCCAUAGAGGCUACAGUUUUGCAUUUACAAACUGUAGUAAGUAUCAUGUAAGAAAAUUAUAGUGUUAACUGUUUGACUUAAACAUCUAUAAGGAGGUUGGAGAACAUUGCACUAAGGAGUUGACUGUGUGUGUGUGUGCUUGUGUGUGUGUGGCGUAGAUCAACAGAGGCUUGAUCAUAAAGCUCUUUAUAAGCCAUGCUAAGGAUUGUUAGACUUUGUCCUAGAACAAUGAAGGGCCUUUGGAGGAUGAUGGGGAAAAUUUACAUGGUCAUAUGGAGGUGAGAAUCAAAGCUGAGGAGUAAGAAUUUCACCAAAUGUCCAGUUUUGGUGUAGAAGUACAUCCAUGAAAACAUUAUAAUGGUUAUGUACUGAGAUGAGAUAUGUGCAUGUCUGACAUUAUUCUGAAGCCAUUGCUUUUAAUCAAUUACUUUUAUUGAGGAAGAAUGAGGCAAACCACCCUCAGAUAAUAGUCAGUAUUAUAGCCAAUGUGCAACUAUUGGUACAGCAGUAUUGGAAAUUUUGAAUUGUAUUGCUUUAACCAUGUCCACAUAAAAAAUGGCUUGCAGUAUUAGAAUAAAAAUGAUGAAAAAUAUAUAAACUAAAAAUAGAUUUUUUUCUUAAACACUUUUAGAAGCACUGGUG
rnacentral:lncRNA from 10 species